rnacentral:SRP_RNA from 1 species
GCUGGGUGUGGUGGUGUACGCCUGUUGUCCCAACUACUUGGGAGGCUGAGGAAGGAGAAUUGCUUGAGCCCAGGAAUUUCAGGCUGCAGUGAGCCAUCAUCAUGUUGCUUCACUCCAGCCUGGUAACAGAGCAAAAAUGUGUCACUGCACCCCAGCCUGGGCAACACAGCAAAACCAUUUUAU